GAUGAACGCUGGCGGCGUGCCUAAUACAUGCAAGUCGAGCGAACAGACGAGGAGCUUGCUCCUCUGACGUUAGCGGCGGACGGGUGAGUAACACGUGGAUAACCUACCUAUAAGACUGGGAUCACUUCGGGAAACCGGAGCUAAUACCGGAUAAUAUAUUGAACCGCAUGGUUCAAUAGUGAAAGACGGUUUUGCUGUCACUUAUAGAUGGAUCCGCGCCGCAUUAGAUAGUUGGUAAGGUAACGGCUUACCAAGGCAACGAUGCGUAGCCGACCUGAGAGGGUGAUCAGCCACACUGGAACUGAGACACGGUCCAGACUCCUACGGGAGGCAGCAGUAGGGAAUCUUCCGCAAAGGGCGAAAGCCUGACGGAGCAACGCCGCGUGAGUGAUGAAGGUCUUCGGAUCGUAAAACUCUGUUAUUAGGGAAGAACAAAUGUGUAAGUAACUAUGCACGUCUUGACGGUACCUAAUCAGAAAGCCACGGCUAACUACGUG
rnacentral:rRNA from 1 species